CGGAGAGUUUGAUCCUGGCUCAGGAUGAACGCUGGCGGCGUGCCUAAUACAUGCAAGUCGAACGCACAGCGAAAGGUGCUUGCACCUUUCAAGUGAGUGGCGAACGGGUGAGUAACACGUGGACAACCUGCCUCAAGGCUGGGGAUAACAUUUGGAAACAGAUGCUAAUACCGAAUGAAACUUAGUGUCGCAUGAUACGAAGUUAAAAGGCGCUUUGGCGUCACCUAGAGAUGGAUCCGCGGUGCAUUAGUUAGUUGGUGGGGUAAAGGCCUACCAAGACAAUGAUGCAUAGCCGAGUUGAGAGACUGAUCGGCCACAUUGGGACUGAGACACGGCCCAAACUCCUACGGGAGGCUGCAGUAGGGAAUCUUCCACAAUGGGCGAAAGCCUGAUGGAGCAACGCCGCGUGUGUGAUGAAGGCUUUCGGGUCGUAAAGCACUGUUGUAUGGGAAGAACAGCUAGAAUAGGGAAUGAUUUUAGUUUGACGGUACCAUACCAGAAAGGGACGGCUAAAUACGUGCCAGCAGCCGCGGUAAUACGUAUGUCCCGAGCGUUAUCCGGAUUUAUUGGGCGUAAAGCGAGCGCAGACGGUUGAUUAAGUCUGAUGUGAAAGCCCGGAGCUCAACUCCGGAAUGGCAUUGGAAACUGGUUAACUUGAGUGCAGUAGAGGUAAGUGGAACUCCAUGUGUAGCGGUGGAAUGCGUAGAUAUAUGGAAGAACACCAGUGGCGAAGGCGGCUUACUGGACUGUAACUGACGUUGAGGCUCGAAAGUGUGGGUAGCAAACAGGAUUAGAUACCCUGGUAGUCCACACCGUAAACGAUGAACACUAGGUGUUAGGAGGUUUCCGCCUCUUAG
rnacentral:rRNA from 1 species